rnacentral:misc_RNA from 1 species
UCUCCGUAGGUGAACCUGCGGAGGGAUCAUUACAGAGCUCAUGCCCUACCGGGUAGAUCUCCCACCCUAUGUUAUUAUUACUUUGUUGCUUUGGCGGGCCGUUAGGCUCCGGCCCGACUACCGGCCCCGGCUGGUAAGCGCCCGCCAGAGGACCCAAAACCCUGAAUAUUAGUGUCGUCUGAGUACUAUAUAAUAGUUAAAGCUUUCAACAACGGAUCUCUUGGUUCUG